CGGGGUCUGGUGGUCACGCUGGCACCGCCUCUACCCGGCCGCAGCGCGUCUCUAGGCCAGGUCCCCCGAGAUCGGGGUCACCAAAACUCCCGCAGACCUUUUCCCCUGGGGCGACUCGGGGGGCCUGUUACCAGUAGUCACCACCCUGCCUCGACUCCCUCGGUGAAUCAGGGCCCUAGGGCAGCCCGGAAGUGAAGAUAUAAAGGAAGAUGGCAAGGGAAGCCCCAGCUCUGAGGAAUGAUUGGGCAAGAGCAGCCCUCCUUAGCAAACAUAACAUCCAUCUGCUAAAUGUUCCUUUAGAGUUUUUCUCCAGUGAAAAGCUGUGUGUUGGGUUUCAACUUCAGAUCUGUGCAAAUGACUAACACAAGAACCACAGCUGCAGAGAAGUUCAAGCUGUCAUAGCAUGGGGAACAUUCAGUUCAGAGGAAGUUAAGGUAUAUUUCUCUUUGACUACUCAUACAUCCAGUAACCCCUAAAAAGGGCAAGAAAGUCAAAGGCAAAGCGACCCCUGCUUCACUGAUACACAACUUGCAUACUGUACAUACUAGAACAAGGUCACAAUCUGAAAACAUUUAUAUUUGGCUUUAUAAUGACAUCAGUUCAUUCCCUAUUCUGCUCCAAAAUCUAAGGAAGUGUUUAUUUUACCUCUCUUGUAAUUAAAGGGUCCGUGAUGGUGCUUUUUCCCUAUUAAAGGCAUAGUUCAUCUCGAAGGUGAUAUGAAAUCGGUCUCUACUUUGUGACUUUUAAAUGGCAGUUCCUCUUUCUGCUUCGUAAGGUUUUUGUGGGCAGCCUAACAGGUGGACAAGUACAGUGAUGGGUAGAAAGAUAGCUAGAUAACUGAUAUAUAAGACAGUGUGAUAUGUGGAUAUUUUCUUUGUUUAAUAUGAAAUUUAUUGUCAAAUUGGUUUCCAUACAAC